UGAAAGUGGACACAGGGAUAAUGCCAGGCAACUGCACAGUUAGAUGAUAAAUUUACCUUCCACAAGCAGCAUGGACAGAAGAAAGGAACAGCUGGGCUUUUUUUCCACUGUAUCGUCAGAGGAAGACUACAUCCUUCUAGAAGAUCACUGCUCUAAGAGAAACACAUCUGCCACUCCAGAAGGACUGCAGCCAUUCCAAUUUAAACUGCUAGCAACACCCUGACCAAAAGGGUGUCAGGUUGUAUUCUGACUCUGUCAGUGGUUUUUCUUUUGUAUUAUUGCAUGUAUUUUCUUGGUUUUUUUUUUUUUUUUUUUUUUUCCUUUUUCCUUUUUCCUUUUUCCUAAUAAAUUGUAUUUCU